rnacentral:rRNA from 1 species
UACGUAGGGGGCAAGCGUUGUCCGGAUUUAUUGGGCGUAAAGAGCGUGUAGGCGGCCAGACAGGUCCGUUGUGAAAACUCGAGGCUCAACCUCGAGAUGUCGAUGGAAACCGUCUGGCUAGAGUCCGGAAGAGGAGUGUGGAAUUCCUGGUGUAGCGGUGAAAUGCGCAGAUAUCAGGAGGAACACCGAUGGCGAAGGCAGGUCUCUGGGCCGCAACUGACGCUGAGGAGCGAAAGCAUGGGGAGCGAACAGG